CCAUUUGCACCUGCGUGCAUGGUUCUUAGCCAUUAAGGGGUAACCACUGCCAUGAGAUGGUAAAUCCAUUUCGUGUACUUACAGAUGUUUCUUAUAUCCAUGUGUUUUAGGUCAAGAAGCUUAUCAAGGAUAAAAAGGAUGAUGCUAGAAUUUCUGAAUAUAUCGAUAUAAAUAAAGAGCUUCAAGAGAUGAGUUAAUUUCUUAUUUUAUCUUGUAAUGUGAUCCCUCAUGCUCAUGUAGCUACACAUUAGAUACGUUGGAUUAAUGAUACUCACAAAUGGAUGUUUGAUUUCUCCUCUGGUUUUGGGGAUGUUGCUAUCGAUUCCUCUCUUCUUUGUUACAAGGAGCUAUGCCCAGCACAAGGUAGCAUGAAAAAGGUUGCUUGCAACAUAAGAUUUGUUUGGGGGUUUAGAUUUUUUGUAACCUUGAAAGGUAAGAAGGUUAAUUAUGACGGUGGUAGGGACUGUCUGAACAACCCUAUUAAUAAUAAUGAACAAUAUGUAAAUAUUUAGUGUCUUUAAAGUUGGCCUUUACUUAUUGUUUGGACAAGAAAUCUGCCAGUAUUAUGCAGGGGAACAAUGCCAAAUUAUGAUCCACGAAAACAAAAUAAAAAGCUCUCCAGUUUAUGUUCAUAAUUUAACUUUUUUGAUACAUGAAAUGCGAAACAGAACUAAAUGCCAUAUGCAGUAAGUUCCUCCUGACAUCAUGUAUUAUUUGAGCCAUAACUACUUUGUUCUUUGAUGUAGAUAAAAGAGUUAAGUUGCUUGCGAUAAGCUCACAACCUGUGUUAUUUCAAGUUACAAAAAACCAUGUUACAUGUGAAAUAUGUAUCCAAUUCGAAAGUAUCAUAAAUAACAAAUCCAGCAAAGAUCCUGUGUAAACUGGAUUGUCCUUGCAAGCUCUUGAUAGCCACAUAAGUGUGAACCAGAUAAAAAACUGUUAUUCUACAUGCAGUUUAAUGAGGAAGCAUGGUCACCUUUUGUAAAGAAGUAAAGACUAUAGUUCAUCAUGGUGAGGUAAGGGUUAUUUUAUAUUGAAGUAAAGACGUGCAUGAACGCAAAAUGCAUUGCAAUGCUUGAGCUCUCAGUGAAUUGAAAUAACCCCCCAAUAGUAACCGAUCACCCCCUCAGGCAAAAGGAGGACACAGGCAUGUGUUACAUAUAUGCAGAGGAAAAACAAAGCAUAUGAGUUCAGCAUGUUAGUUUUUUUUUAUUACAAAUACACUAAAUGAGGAAAUAGCUAAUAAAUGGAUAGAUAAAAAGUGGUCUCAGUUUUAGGUUCCCUUCGAAGUAUAUCAUCUGCUAUUGGGUUAACCUAGGGUGCAUGCAGACAGCCAGUUGCACUAUGGCAUCUAAUGAUUUGUGUUUAUGGUGCCGAUUUUAGUUCCCCAUUCUGGUUGGGUUUAUCUGGGAGGUCUGCUCCCUAAGAGAAAGAACAAAAACAAAAGGAACCUAAAAAGAUUUCUGUUAUUACAUCCACGGUAUGGGUUGUAAUCUACUAUGUCUAUUUCUUUGGUUUUGAAAUUCUACUCUGAUAUCUAUAUCUAUACAUAGUAAGUGAAAUGUUGAGCCUUCAGGACAUCGGCUGCUACCACCUGAGGCUUUAAACUAAUCUCAAUCACUUCUACUUUUGCAUAUUGGUUUGGGUGCAGGACACAAUUGGUCGAAGCAAUGCUCGAGGCAAGAGGAUGGAAUUCCAUGAAACAGAGCAAAUGAACGAGGUUAGUAUCACCAUGGACUGUUCCCAAAUUUAGUAUUGCAGUGGACACAUUUAAUGGUAACUGUUGAUUCUGGUAAUGUGUCAGUUCAUAAGCCAAUGGUGUAGUUCGAAUGGGUUAGCCUAAUGAGGUAACAUAAUUAUUCUAAAAAAAUGUAUAGCCUCAGUAGCCUAAUUAGGUUAUUACUAAUGAUCUUCUUUAUCGAUCUUCUAUUCUUGAUAUUUUUUGUUCAAUCCAACAAGUGGCGUGUUUACAUGCAAAGAGCGGUUGCUAAAGGAUAGGAAGCUGAAGCUGGAUGAAGGAAGCAACUAUAUG
rnacentral:lncRNA from 1 species